CCGCACUUUCAUCAAUCUAUUAUUCUCAAAUACAUUGUUACAAUAAUAUUGGAACAAACUCAUAAUCUGUGAAAUUUGAAGUCACCAAAGAUAUUUUCUCAAGAAGAAUUCAACUAACAGAAGCUUUUACCAAAAAGCGGAUCUGGUGAGAAUUUAUCCAAUAAGUAAAAAAUUAAUGUAAAAUGCUACUUAAACGAGGUGACAGGCUCAUUAAUGAGACUAAAAACUAAUUCUACCCAUUUUAUUCUUCAACCCGAUACAGAGCACUAUUUCUCAAAAACAAAGAAAAUUAGGAAACUCCCACAUGAAAUAGCCUUCUACAAAUCUCUUUCUGCAAACAUGAUUUAAGCUUAGCCAAGGUUACUUAACCACGGUGAUCCAAAAUUAUUUCUAAACCAGAGGGGGAGGGGGAGGGGGGGAAUCAUGCGAAGAAGUAGUAUUAGAAGACGAAGACAAAUUUAAUAACGGCGAAGAAGAAGAAGAAUCAGAAGACGAAGACGACAACGCAUGUGACGACGGGGAAGAAGCAGCAGUAGAUUUAGAAGACGAAAAAGUAGACCAAAAAGACGAUGAAGUAGUCGAAGAAGAUGAAGAAGAAGACGAAGGACCAAUGCACAAACCAAUGAUGACGACGGCGAGGGCGAGGGCGAGGGCGAUACAAAUAAUCCAAAUUGCCGAUAAGUUCCAGAAGCUCUGCUUCUCUCUACUUUUUUUCCUACGUCUGUGUAAAAGUGACUUUUCCAUCUUCAGUCUGUUUGCUCAUCGGGUAAGAAAUUUAAGAGAAAUUGAUGGAGUAUCCCGAGGCUGAAUUUCUUUCCAGUUGUUAAGAUUUGAAGGCUUAUUUAUAGCCACAAAAUGUGUAGAGACUGAUGACAAGAAGAACUGGCAGAUGUUUUAUUCAACACUAUGAAACGAGAGUACAAU
rnacentral:lncRNA from 1 species